UAAAAAUAAUACAUAUAACUUGAAAGAAAAUUAAAAAUGCAUAUCUAAGAGUUUUGAAGUAUGAGUCAAAGAAAAUACAUAUUAAGUAAAGUGUAGUGCUCGUUAAUUGAUACAUUUGAAAUUAUAUCUAUCAUUUUUACCUUUCGUUAUUGUAUAGAUAAUCUUUUCCAUUCAUGUUUUUGUUUCUUUGCUUUUUGUUUUUAGGAGCUUAAUCAUUAAUCAUUGUAACAGCCUGGAUUCCCAGGUAUUAUUCAUUUAUUUAUUUUGUUAAUUUGUGACGAGACUCGACGAGUUGGAGCCUAGACUCGCCGAGUAUGAUCGCGGAUUUGGACGCGGGUUCGCGCCUGGACUCGGCGAGUCCGCGCUGUUUAAUGAAACCCUAAUUUCCCGGCCUUGAGCCCUAUUUAAAGGACCUUAAACCCCUCCAUUGCGGCUACCUUCGACCUUGAGAGCACCAGAGCGGCUGAGAGUUCUUGUGAGUGAGAUAAAAGGCCAUUAUUCACCAUUUUUGUGUGUAAUUGCAAGAAAAGAAGAGGAAGGCCAAACUAGAAAAGUUGGGGAGCUUGGAUCUACUCCCAUUUCGGCAGAAGAAGCUAUUUGAGGAGGAUUAUAGCUCAGAGGAUCGAGCGCGAGUGAUUUCCGGGAUUUGCGAGUUAUCGAGAUACGCGAGGUACUAGUGAUGACCGUGGGAAGGCCCCGACUUGAUUUGUACACACGCAUGGGAUUUUUAUGAUAUGUGAUCUUGGGAUUUUGUAUGAUAUGGAUUGGAGUUUUAAACUUGAUGUUUUAUGAAAAUUAAAUGAAAAUGUUUUUAUAUUAUGCGAAAAAUUAUUUUGAAAUUCACGGUGUU